CCCAAAACUGUUUCACCGGACUAAUGUAUAUGUUUUAACCUGCCACUUAAAUGGUAUCUGAAAUGUACUUUGUAUUUUAUUUUAAUUUCGUUGUUAUACCAGUAGCAGAAAAGGUGACGUUUGCUGGGAAAUAUUAUUCAGACAACUCCCGUCGAAUUCAUCACCAUCUCCUACGGUAUCCGUUGCUCCUCUCUUUGAUGAAUUCCUGCCUGCAUUCUGUUGUCAAUAGAAAAGGACGGUGUGCUUCGGGUAUUAAGCAUUCCAUUGGAUUAUCUGUGUAUGAAGGUGGACACUUAGGAUA